UUGUUCUCAUUCUCGCCGAUUUCCUUUCUCCCCAAGCCGAAUUGCCGACCCCCUCUCCCGAUCUCGUCGUCGUCGCCCUAGAUCGCCGACCGCCGCCUACCAUCAUUGCGUCUCCUCGUCGACAAUGGUGUUGUCUUCCUCUCUUGGCCAUGGGCACCAGGUGCUUGCUGGAAGCCGAGCACACGAGUCGGCGAUAGGGCCGUCUGACCUCGACCAUGAGAUGCGCUGCUAGGCGUCGACGAUCUCCACCGCAACCACUCUCGUGCCCUAGCCUUGAUCCUUGUCCGGUUGAGCUCUCCCUCUUCUUGAUCCAACACUGUCGCCCUCUCGCCGUUUGCCUGUUGGAUUUCUCCGCAAGCGCAGGUCAACAUUGAUGACUUCUUUGCCGUUGCGAACAUUGUGUGACAGUUCUCUAGCUUGGCGAUGCCAUCACUGGUUGUGAUUGAGAGAAGAGGGCAACCAGCGAGAGAUCUCUAUUUCCUCACAGUAGCAUCCAGGAUCUUCAUCGGGUGGUUGUAGAUCUGUGUAUAGAGCCCCUAUUUAUCGCAGUAACCUGUGGUUUCUUCACUAAAUAGUUAUAAACCCGGAUUGAGCUUCAGCCAACAUUAUAUUGUUCGUUGGAGAACCACAGUUCGAACCAUCUUAUUCUGACAGUGAACCUCUCCGGCCGUGAAUCGACGGAGGAGAAAUUCAAUUUGGGACUUUGAUUUGAGACGAGCAUCUCGAUGUGGGAUUUGUUUAUCACAAUGAACAGAUAAACACGGGUAGUAGGUAGAUGAUUGUGGAGUCGCUUGGAGUAUCCUGUUUGUCGGUCCCACGUCACAUCUGAGGAUGGUUUUGGGUUUUACUUCUUACUUUACUUGCUUUACGAAUUUGUGAGCUUGACAUUGUAUUUCUUCAAUUUUAUUUUAGAGUUUUGCUAUGUUGGUAUCUUGUAUUUAUCUUGUUGUGACUGUGUGUAAAGCCUAGUCGGCUGGCGGUUUAUCUUUCUUGAUUUAUGAGCUUUCCUUUCUU